UAAAGUAUGAUUUCCAUAUAUUUGACUUCCAAUCAAAAGAUACCAAUAAACCAUCGUUACUUUAC
rnacentral:tRNA from 1 species